GCAUAUCAAUAAGCGGAGGAAAAGAAACUAACAAGGAUUCCCCUAGUAACUGCGAGUGAAGCGGGAAAAGCUCAAAUUUAAAAUCUGGCGGUCUCCGGCCGUCCGAGUUGUAAUUUAGAGAAGCGUUAUCCGUGCUGGACCGUGUAUAAGUCUCCUGGAAUGGAGCGUCAUAGAGGGUGAGAAUCCCGUCUUUGACACGGACUACCAGUGCAUUGUGAUGCGCUCUCGACGAGUCGAGUUGUUUGGGAAUGCAGCUCAAAAUGGGUGGUAAAUGCCAUCUAAAGCUAAAUAUUGGCGAGAGACCGAUAGCGAACAAGUACCGUGAGGGAAAGAUGAAAAGAACUUUGGAAAGAGAGUUAAACAGUACGUGAAAUUGUCGAAAGGGAAACGGUUGCAGUCAGUCGCGUCCGCCGGGGAUCAACCUUGCUUUUGCUUGGCGUAUUUCCCGGUGGAUGGGUCAGCAUCAGUUUUGACCGCAGUUGAAAGGCUGGAGGAAUGUGGCACCUUCGGGUGUGUUAUAGCCUCCUGUCAUAUGCUGCGGUUGGGACUGAGGAACUCAGCACGCCGCAAGGCCGGGAUUCGUCCACGUUCGUGCUUAGGAUGCUGGCAUAAUGUCUGUAACCGACCCGUCUUGAAACACGGAC
rnacentral:rRNA from 1 species